UGGGCCCAGCUUUACAGAGAAGCACCCGCAGAAACAAAGUUGUGCCUGCAUUUCAACUCCUUGGCAACGUCGUUAAUAGCGUCGACGGUGUCUCUGCGUUUACAGGACUGCGUCUGUAGACACGGCCGCUGGAGGGCUGUGACGCACAAGGUGCUGGGCGCACUCAGCUCCUGCUCAGCAGCACCACCCCGCUGGAACACUCAGCUCCUGCUGAGCAGCAGCACCACCGACCCCGCUGGAACACUCAGCUCCUGCUCAGCAGCAGCACCACCGACCCCGCUGGAACACUCAGCUCCUGCUGAGCAGCAGCAGCACCGACCCCGCUGGAACACUCAGCUCCUGCUCAGCAGCAGCACCACCGACCCCGCUGGAACACUCAGCUCCUGCUCAGCAGCAGCACCACCGACCCCGCUGGAACACUCAGCUCCUGCUCAGCAGCAGCACCACCGACCCCGCUGGAACACUCAGCUCCUGCUGAGCAGCAGCAGCACCGACCCCGCUGGAACACUCAGCUCCUGCUCAGCAGCAGCACCACCGACCCCGCUGGAACACUCAGCUCCUGCUCAGCAGCAGCACCACCGACCCCGCUGGAACACUCAGCUCCUGCUCAGCAGCAGCACCACCGACCCCGCUGGAACGCUCAGCAGCAGCACCGACCCCGCUGGAACACUCAGCUCCUGCUCAGCAGCAGCACCGACCCCGCUGGAACACUCAGCUCCUGCUCAGCAGCACCACCGACCCCGCUGGAACACUCAGCUCCUGCUCAGCAGCAGCACCACCGACCCCGCUGGAACACUCAGCUCCUGCUCAGCAGCAGCACCACCGACCCCGCUGGAACACUCAGCUCCUGCUGAGCAGCAGCAGCACCGACCCCGCUGGAACACUCAGCUCCUGCUCAGCAGCAGCACCACCGACCCCGCUGGAACACUCAGCUCCUGCUCAGCAGCAGCACCACCGACCCCGCUGGAACACUCAGCUCCUGCUCAGCAGCAGCACCACCGACCCCGCUGGAACACUCAGCUCCUGCUCAGCAGCAGCACCGACCCCGCUGGAACACUCAGCUCCUGCUCAGCAGCACCACCGACCCCGCUGGAACACUCAGCUCCUGCUCAGCAGCACCACCGACCCCGCUGGAACACUCAGCUCCUGCUCAGCAGCAGCACCACCGACCCCGCUGGAACACUCAGCUCCUGCUCAGCAGCAGCACCACCGACCCCGCUGGAACACUCAGCUCCUGCUGAGCAGCAGCAGCACCGACCCCGCUGGAACACUCAGCUCCUGCUCAGCAGCAGCAGCACCACCGACCCCGCUGGAACACUCAGCUCCUGCUCAGCAGCAGCACCACCGACCCCGCUGGAACACUCAGCUCCUGCUCAGCAGCAGCACCACCGACCCCGCUGGAACACUCAGCUCCUGCUCAGCAGCAGCACCACCGACCCCGCUGGAACACUCAGCUCCUGCUCAGCAGCAGCACCACCGACCCCGCUGGAACACUCAGCUCCUGCUCAGCAGCAGCACCACCGACCCCGCUGGAACACUCAGCUCCUGCUCAGCAGCACCACUGACCCCGCUGGAACACUCAGCUCCUGCUGA
ensembl:lncRNA